rnacentral:rRNA from 1 species
GACAAGCGUGGGAGGGGUGAGUAAUGUCUGGGAAACUGCCUGAUGGAGGGGGAUAACUACUGGAAACGGUAGCUAAUACCGCAUAACGUCGCAAGACCAAAGAGGGGGACCUUCGGGCCUCUUGCCAUCAGAUGUGCCCAGAUGGGAUUAGCUAGUAGGUGGGGUAACGGCUCACCUAGGCGACGAUCCCUAGCUGGUCUGAGAGGAUGACCAGCCACACUGGAACUGAGACACGGUCCAGACUCCUACGGGAGGCAGCAGUGGGGAAUAUUGCACAAUGGGCGCAAGCCUGAUGCAGCCAUGCCGCGUGUAUGAAGAAGGCCUUCGGGUUGUAAAGUACUUUCAGCGGGGAGGAAGGUGUUGAGGUUAAUAACCUUGUCAAUUGACGUUACCCGCAGAAGAAGCACCGGCUAACUCCGUGCCAGCAGCCGCGGUAAUACGGAGGGUGCAAGCGUUAAUCGGAAUUACUGGGCGUAAAGCGCACGCAGGCGGUCUGUCAAGUCGGAUGUGAAAUCCCCGGGCUCAACCUGGGAACUGCAUUCGAAACUGGCAGGCUAGAG